CCUACGGGUGGCAGCAGUGAGGAAUAUUGGUCAAUGGACGCAAGUCUGAACCAGCCAUGCCGCGUGCAGGAAGACGGCUCUAUGAGUUGUAAACUGCUUUUGUACGAGGGUAAACGCAGAUACGCGUAUCUGUCUGAAAGUAUCGUACGAAUAAGGAUCGGCUAACUCCGGGCCAGCAGCCGCGGUAAUACGGAGGGUUCAAGCGUUAUCCGGAUUUAUUGGGUUUAAAGGGUGCGUAGGCGGUCGGAUAAGUUAGAGGUGAAAGCCCGAGGCUCAACUUCGGAAUUGCAUCGGAUACUGUUCGGCUAGAGAGUAGUUGCGGUAGGCGGAAUGUAUGGUGUAGCGGUGAAAUGCUUAGAGAUCAUACAGAACACCGAUUGCGAAGGCAGCUUACCAAGCUACUUCUGACGUUGAGGCACGAAAGCGUGGGGAGCAAACAGGAUUAGAUACCCCUGUAGUC
rnacentral:rRNA from 1 species